GGGCUCAGCUGUGAAGGGAUGGAUACAUUUAGAAACGGCUAAAUGAUAACUUCAGAAGUUCUUCUCCAUAAGCACUGUUUAAUGCGAAGGUUCAAAUUAGUGGAGAUGGACAAUCCUUCAGCUAAUGGAGACCCUGAUACCAACAUCCAUUCCUGGUGGAAAGAAAUCCUAACUUAAAAGCAGAAUUCUAAUAAAGGAAACCGAAAACUGCAUUGCAAUUUCACAAACUUAAGCUCUGAUGGAUUAUAUUAAUUAUAUUUCAACAAAUAAGCUCUCAGGACACAGCGCAAUAAAGAGAAAUGAGAUAAUAUUGCAGCCAACUUCCAUCCUGCACCUGUCAAAAAUCAGUAAAGUCCUAUCAUUUGUGAGGGUUAUGUUCUUCGAAAACGUCAAAUGAAUAUACUUUAUAAUAGGAGUCAAUUUGGAUCCAAUAGUCCAAAAAUUUGACAUGUAUAGAGAAUUAAAAACAAUUUUUAAUAAAUAUAAAGAUAUCCUGUUUAA